AAAAUGAAUGUUUUCGAAUAUUUGUUCAGAGGUAAUUUACCUGGUUCCACCAUCCUUUGACUAAGACAUGUUAUAUAGAGGCGAGGAGUAAUUGUGGAGUUCGCCAGCAGGGGGUAGUGUGGCAUUUAUUGUGCUCCACGGGGCUUUACGUCAGUUUUGUCCGCUUUGCGAUUUUCCUCUUUCUGCUGAGCGAGACGAAAAACGGACGCAGAGUUUGCCUGGUCUCAUUUAUUUCUCCUGUUUUCAGGUCAGCUGAAAUCUCAUCAUCUAAUUCCCUUUGAGAGAGAAAAAACAACAACAGAUUAAAUCGUUAUAGAAGCAACUUUCCAGUUCUGCAAGCAACGGAGUAAAGCACUCAAACAAGAACAAACACUCACUCUGUCUGGGACUGCUUUUCAGUGAAGACUCGUAGGACAAAAUCAGCCUCUUUGCUGGGUUCAAAGGUGGAGGGGACGAUAAUGUAUUCACCGGGAGGCAGACGGAGACGAGUGCUGACCUCCCGCAGGUUGAUGAAGGUCUCAGAGCGGGCGCACGAUGAGUGUGUCAGGAAGAAGUCCUUUUUAAGGUGCACAUUCUGACAGCCUGCAUACUGCACACAGAUGGAAAUGACAAAUCUGUGCAGUACACAAAAUUAUUCCACUGUGAAUAAUCAAGAGGAAAUUCAUGGGUUCAUACCUCUUCAGGAAUCUGCAAGGAGGAGGAAAAGAAGGAAAACAAUUAGGCAUUUUUUUUCCCUUUGGAACACAGUUAUCUGUUAACUCAACCGAUUUUGCUCCCCACCUCGUAGAUAGCAAAGCCGAUGGUGUGCAUGUCCUGUCCGUGGCGCCGGUACCGUCUGCGGUCUUUCUGCAGUAAAGCCACCAGAAAGCUGCAGGCCACUUCUUCAUCCUCUGGGUCAUCAUCCUCCUCCAGCAAUGUGAUCUUGUACUGUGGAUUGAUCCAGAACGUGUCUGCCAAACAGCAGAGGAACACAAACCAGUUAUGGGUUCAAAUUCCAGAUGAAGCUGAUAGCGGAGUUUGAUGCAUGCAUUAUUAAUUGUUCAUCUUGUUCGUGAUAUGAUGCUUAAUACACUUUU